GUGAGUACACUCUGUCAAAGGGUUCCACGGGAAAAAUUAAUUGGGAACCCCUGCCGUAGAGUAUAACCCUGACAGGGUUCAUAUCAGCUGGUAAGUUCUUUUCAUAGAAAAUAAUGAGAGUUGCCAGUGAUUGGGUUUUAAGCAGCGGUAGCCAAUAACAUUUGCUAAGUUUGUCCCUAAGUUUAUUUGAGCUACAGACCAUUUGUUUCCCAUUUAACUCCCUAAAUUCCAGGUGGCAGAAGCACAAAUGCACAGUAAAAUUGGCCGUGAAAAAAAAUGAUAUUUUUUCCAACAACAAUUAUGCAGCACGCUACUUAGUGCCACAUCAAAGGAAAGGCAAUUAAACACAGAUUGCAACAAUAAU